rnacentral:rRNA from 1 species
GAUGAACGCUGGCGGCGUGCCUAAUACAUGCAAGUCGAGCGAACAGAUGAGGAGCUUGCUCCUCUGACGUUAGCGGCGGACGGGUGAGUAACACGUGGAUAACCUACCUAUAAGACUGGGAUAACUUCGGGAAACCGGAGCUAAUACCGGAUAAUAUAUUGAACCGCAUGGUUCAAUAGUGAAAGACGGUUUUGCUGUCACUUAUAGAUGGAUCCGCGCCGCAUUAGCUAGUUGGUAAGGUAACGGCUUACCAAGGCAACGAUGCGUAGCCGACCUGAGAGGGUGCUCGGCCACACUGGAACUGAGACAAGGGCCAGACUCCUACGGGAGGCAGCAGUAGGGAAUCUUCCGCAAUGGGCGAAAGCCUGACGGAGCAACGCCGCGUGAGUGAUGAAGGUCUUCGGAUCGUAAAACUCUGUUAUUAGGGAAGAACAAAUGUGUAAGUAACUAUGCACGUCUUGACGGUACCUAAUCAGAAAGCCACGGCUAACUACGUG